rnacentral:lncRNA from 1 species
CCCUUCUAUAAUAUUUCUGUUAAGAGAUUUGUUAUCUAUUACAGAUCACAUUUCUUCAGUAAUUCUGAAAUUAAGAAACUGUUUAAAGGGUCAAUUUAUUUAGUGACUGAAGUCAACCUUCUAGUUGCAUAUUGAGUAUCUUGUCCUUGUUUGUUACUGAUGCUUAUGUGCCAUGGAUUUUUCUGUGGUACCACUCACUAUAUGUUAGAGGUUGGCUUGAGGAUGACCUAGCUAUGCAUUGGCAUGAGUUAGUUUAGCAUUAAAAAAAAUUUAUAUAUGGAUUGUGUUGCAUUUUAGAGCAAGUCCAUCAUAGUAAAUUUACAUAAAAGAUCAUAUCCUUUUCUUUGUUCUUAUCUACACCUGUCAAUACUUCUUUAUUGUGUGGGCUGACAUACUUUGGUGCCUAGGCCAAUAGUUGGUGCUUCACUCUCUUGUUUGAGGGCUUUUAUAUUAUUCGUCCUCCCAUGUUCAAUGGGACGGACUACACUUAUUGGAAAACUCUCAUCUGUUUUCUAUGGAUUUGAAUUUAUAGAAUAUUAUCGAAAGCAGUUUUCAAAAGUCUUAUACUCCAAUGAACGAAUGGAAUGAUUUGGAGAAGAAAACUUUUUCUUUAAAUACUCGAGCUAUGAAUGCUCUAUUUUGCGCCUUAGAUAAAAAUGAAUUCAAUCGGGUUUCUACUUGUGAAACGACUUUUGACAUUUAACACACACUUAAAAUCACACAUGAAGGCACUAGUAGAGUUAAAGACUCUAAAAGAAAUAUUUUGAUGCAUGAUUUUGAGUUGUUUCGUAUGAAGCCAAGUGAAACUAUUGGUGACAUGUACACCCGUUUUACGGAUGUCGUCAAUAGUUUAAAAGCUCUUGGCAAAUGUUUUUCGAAUUUUGAACUUGUUAAUAAAGUUUUAUGAUCGUUUUCUAAAAAUUGGGAUUCGAAAAUAACGACUAUUCAAGAAUCUAAGAACUUGAACCAUUUUCCACUCGAAGAACUUAUUGGGUCUUUAAUGACCUAUGAAAUGAAUUGUAUGACACAUAUUGAACAUGAUGAACUUGAGAAAACCUUCCAAAGAACAGAAAAAUUUUGACACUUAGAACAAAUGAAGACCAUUUGAGCGAAAGCUCAAGUGAUGAUGACUUUGAACUCUUGACUAUAAAGCUUAAAAAAUUCUUAAAACAAGAAUCUAAGAACAAAAAUAAAAGGAAUGCGCAACUACUUGCUAUGAACGCAAGAAGAAUGAAGCACUUUGGGACAAAACGAGUACCUCCAAAGUCGAGGAGCAAAUCGAUGAAGACAAAGUGGCGAACUUCGCUUUGAUGACUCUCGACGAUGAGGUAACCAAAAUCCCUUUACUUUAUUUUGAAAUUACUAGAUGCAUUUCAUAUGUUGUUUUUAAAUUAGUAUAUAAAAUACAAAUAAAUAAAUAAAUAAAUAAAAGGGGAUCAUGCUUUUCUUUUGAAAAUGAUAAUGACAAUUGCAUGUUUUAUGAAAAUAUAACAAAAUGUUAGAUUUAAAUCUAAUGAUUAAUCCUAUAUAUGUUUUUAAGAAAAAAUAACGUGUGUCCUGAUGAUUUCCAUAUUGCUUUUCGAUUUUGAUUAAAAACGAUUUAUGUUUAAUGAAGUUAUGCUUGAUAAAAUAAUAUAAUGAUGAUUUGAAGUCACGCUUAAUGAGUUUAUAUUUCGAAAUUAUGCAUGAUGAUUUUUGUGAUUUAUGGCUUAUUGAUCUUUGUCAUAAUGAAAGUUACUUUUUCGGUUUUAAACGAUGAUGCUUGUUUUUGUUUGAUAUAAAUAACAAAGACAUGCUUGUAUGAAAUAAAUCACAUAAAUUGAAACAAUUAUAAAGAGGAAAGCAUUUUUCUUGAAAUUUUUUUUCUCUAUCUUAUCGAUUUUUCACUAAGAAAUUAAUGAAGUUAUUUAUGUCAUUUUGAAUCUCUUAAAAGUAAUUUUGAUAAUUUGACGAUUUGAAUUUGAAUGAGUUUUAUCUAAAUCAUGAUCUUGAUUUCUUGGAAUUACUUGAGAUUUUUUUUAAUCAAGAUCUCUUCUUUUUACUCUUACGAUUUUUCUUGGUAUUUUAUUUUAAGAGGAGAUUUACUAUAUGAAUUAUGAGAAUUAUGAUACAUGAAUCGAGGUCCUUUAUGUGUUCUCCCAUGACUCUAUUUGCUAUAAGAAAAUUUUUAUCUAUAUCAUGAUCGAUUUUGAAUUCUUGGAAUCAAAACUUAAUAUUUUCUUUAUAUGAAUCAAGACUUUUCAUUAUUCUCCUAUGAUUUUACUUGCUAUAUAUUUAAGAUGAGCUUUUCUAUAUAAAUCAUGAGAUUUCUUAUGCAUGAAUCGAGAUCAUUGAUUAUUUGUUCUUCUACAAUUCUUUUGUUGUUUACUAAAGAGAAUAUCUUUUUCGGAAUUCAUGACUUAAAAUUUCUAUUGAAGAUUUUUUACUAUUUGAUCUCCUAAGAUUUCCUUUUGAUUAUUUAAGAGGAGAUUUGUCAAAAUGAAUCAUGUCUUUUGGUAUUCACAUGAUCUCAUCUUUCAUGAUAUGAUUUUUUAUCCUUAAUGUGAUGAUAUGAAAUUAUGCAAUACUCAUGAUAUUAUGUUGAUUCAUACAAAUGAGAAGUUAAGAUUAUGCAUUGUAGGAUGUAAUGUAAUUUGAAAUUUUGAUACCAUCAUGAUUUGAAUUAUUUAUGAUUUGGAAUGAUGCAUACAAUGCUAUGAUUUGUUGCUCAUAUUCGAGUACUAAGAAUAUAACCAGCAAGAUGUUUAAGUCCAAAUUUGAAAGGAAAAUUCUUGAUUUGAACUAUGUCAUGUUGAAGUCCAUUAUCACCUGUUUUCAAAUUUGUCUCCUUUGCCUAUGUUUACCUUAAGCGACCAUACAUGCAAGUGAAGCUUUAUUGUCGAGGCUUUUUCAUUUUUAUUGAAGUCUAGGCUUAGAGUGGAAGGAGAGUGUUUUGAAGAGGUCCAUCAACUGUAAACUAUAGAGAUAAAUCACUUAUUUUGAUAUUAGAAAGAAGCCCUUCUAUAAUAUUUCUGUUGAGAGAUUUUUUAUCUAUUACAGAUCACUUUUCUUCAGUAAUUCUGAAAUUAAGCAACUGUUUAAAGGGUCAAUUUAUUUAGUGACUGAAGUCAACCUUCUAGUUGCAUAUUGAGUAUCUUGUCCUUGUUUGUUGCUGAUGCUUAUGUGCCAUGGAUUUUUCUGUGGUACCACUCACUAUAUGUUAGAGGUUGGCUUGAGGAUGACCUAACUAUACAUUGGCAUGAGUAAGUUCAGCAUUAAAAAUUUUUUAUAUAUGGAUUGUGUUGAAUUUUAGAGCAAGUCCAUCAUAGUAAAUUUACAUAAAAGAUCAUAUCCUUUUCUUUGUUCUUACCUACACCUGUCAAUACUUCUUCAUUGUGUGGGCUGACAGACUUUGGUGCCUAGGUCAGUAGUUGGUGCUUCACUCUCUUGUUUAAGAAACAAAAUAUGCAGGCCAUUCAUCAAUUGGAUAUGACAAGGUAGACUCAGUUUUCAAGCUACAAAUAGCAUAUCUGCUAGGUAGUUGGA